CCUACGGGCGGCAUCAGUGGGGAAUAUUGGACAAUGGGGGGAACCCUGAUCCAGCCAUGCCGCGUGUGUGAAGAAGGCCCUCGGGUUGUAAAGCACUUUCAGUGAGGAAGAACGCCUGGUGGUUAAUACCCAUCAGGAAAGACAUCACUCACAGAAGAAGCACCGGCUAACUCCGUGCCAGCAGCCGCGGUAAUACGGAGGGUGCGAGCGUUAAUCGGAAUUACUGGGCGUAAAGCGCGCGUAGGUGGCUUGAUAAGCCGGUUGUGAAAGCCCCGGGCUCAACCUGGGAACGGCAUCCGGAACUGUCAAGCUAGAGUGCAGGAGAGGAAGGUAGAAUUCCCGGUGUAGCGGUGAAAUGCGUAGAGAUCGGGAGGAAUACCAGUGGCGAAGGCGGCCUUCUGGACUGACACUGACACUGAGGUGCGAAAGCGUGGGUAGCAAACAGGAUUAGAUACCCGGGUAGUC
rnacentral:rRNA from 1 species